ACUGAAACGCGGACUUAAUACAGAGGACCAAUGACAACAGCCAGAAACAGCUGAUCACAUGGGGAUCCCACACGAGGUUAACGCAAGAGCACCUGGCUGGAGAUCUCCACUGUGGAGUCACUUCCGCUGCAGUCUCCAUUCUCAGGACAUCUCCACUGUCAGUACAGGAAAUAACAAGGUGUGACUCCACCCCCUUGAAUAGCGGACAGUGAGAUGAUGAACAGCGGAAGAAGAGCAGCAGCCUGAAGACUCAGCUAGACCUGAAGAUGUGGAGACAAUAGUUGAAGAGGACACCGAUGCAUCCAGGAUCGUCCUUCAUUGUAAACAUGCAGCAGUGUGGGUUGAGGCCAACAAGCACAUGUUUUCUGCCACAGUGGACCCACCUGCCGUACUGUCCAUGGGGGCAGAGAAUCAGGCAGAGGCUGCUGUAAAAUAUGGAAAGUUGUGCCAUGAAUACAUGGAUGAGCAGGACAGGGAGGCAAUCCUGGAGCCUUUCAAGUUUAUGUUCGAUUGCAUUGAUGACAUGUUGACAUUCUGCCAGGAAAUUAUUGAUAAGAGAAGGUAUGUGACAUAUUGUGAAUGUCGCACGAAUAUUACAAAAGAAUAAAAGAAACAGGUCGAUGAUGCGCGAGGUUGUGAAAUUCCGGCUAGAUAUAGUCGGGCUCACCU